rnacentral:rRNA from 1 species
UACAGAGGGUGCAAGCGUUAAUCGGAAUUACUGGGCGUAAAGCGCACGUAGGCGGUUGGUUAAGUUGGAUGUGAAAGCCCCGGGCUCAACCUGGGAAUUGCAUUUGAAACUGGCCAACUAGAGUACGUGAGAGGGGGGUAGAAUUCCAAGUGUAGCGGUGAAAUGCGUAGAGAUUUGGAGGAAUACCAGUGGCGAAGGCGGCCCCCUGGCACGAUACUGACGCUCAGGUGCGAAAGCGUGGGGAGCAAACAGG